GACUCAAGGGUUGAGCUCUGCAGGAGUCACUGCAGAACUCCCGAGCAGGGUAAAAAACCAGCACAGGUUCUUAAAGAGAAAGUCACUCCCCAGCUCUAAACAUUAGAAGCAUCCAGGGGUAAAAAACCCAGAGUCAUCUGCCAAUUGAUUUGGAGACUGGGCAAAGGUCCCAAAGUUAUUAAUAACCCCAGUGUUCUGGGAAUUGAUUUCAUUCUCCAGACAAAGGGAUUAAAAGUUGCUGUAGAAGACAAAGUGGAUUUGGCCAGAUCUCUGCUUUCUGCUCCCCCAAUAAGGAGGCAUUUUAUCCUCAGCAAUGAACUGAUUGGUCCCCUGGCAGGUCUGGUCAGUCUCAAACUCACACUUGGUGUGUAGCUGAGGAUGAGCUUGAAUUCCGGAUCCUUCUGCCUCCACCUCCUGUGUGCUGGGAUCACAGCUGUACCGUCAUGCCUGGUUUUAUGCUCUGCUGGGGAUGGAACCCUGGACUUCUUGCAUGCCAGUGUAUCUGACAUGAAGGAUAUGUGAUAUGCAACCUCAGAGGAGCCACGACCCGCAGAUUGAGAAUGACUGGGCUAGAGUCGACUGCAGCUGUGAUAUCAGUUGCAUGGCCUCAGCUCUGGGUCACGAUACAUGCCACUGAGCCUCAGCUGUUUACCUCCAAAGAACUUGCCUGACUCAAGAGGAUCAUUGCUAGGUCAAGGCCAGCCUGGACUCUUCUGGGCCAGACUAGUAUACAGAGCGAGACCUGUCUAAAUAAACAAGCAAACAAACAAAUAUCCACCCAUGAGAGGACCAGCAAUAAGAAAAGGCUGUGUGGAUGGUAUCUAUCUCCACGCUAGUCUCUGAUUUGGCAGGAUGGUGGUGGUUUUAUGUUCGGGUGGGGACAAGGCAUAGAUGAUAGCCUUCUAUUUGUUAUGGUUGAGAAGCCAGAGGGGAAAAGAACACACAGUGGAUCUGUGCCAAACAGCUCCUCCUGGGAACCAAAAUCUUGGAGUCCUGGAAAGACUGAGUAGGAAGAGGAAGAGACCUGGUGGAAGUGACAGGAGACAUCAUGCAGAUCCCAGCUUUAUUACAGGUGGAUCCAUGAUUCACCGUGGGACAGGACUUCUGUAUGGUACAGGAAAUAGGGUAACUGGAGAAUACCGUGUACCCAUAGUGCUUGAAGGAAACAGACUCUUAUCAUGCUGUGAAGGGGCCUCUCUUGGCCUGGCCUGCGAGGCUAUGAACACGAAAGCUGAUGAGAUUCAUCUGGAUGCUGUGGAAAUAAAGAAAACAAAUGAUACAGGCACCUACUACUCCCUCUGACAAAAGGUGCAUGAUCCAAGGCGAUACGGACGAUUAUGGACCUGGUAGGCAUUGGUUAUUACGGUCAUGUAAGUAACCAGAGGCCCUAUGUUGAAUCAUGGAUUUCUUCUUCCCUAUUACUAUUCAAAACAUCUGGUCUCUAUUGAUACUGGAAUUGAGUAGACUUUAAUUGAUGGCACCCAGAUACCACAGGAGCCGUGAGUAUCAGCACAUGAGAAAAGUACAGUUAAGAAAAGCCAAGCUUUUCCUAGAGAGGGUAAAUAUCCUCAUAUCCUCCCAAGAGUGUACUGUGUACAUUUACCUACUGCAAGAGAACAUUGCAAAGGAGUCUGUAAUACUAAGUACCACACUGGAGAGUUUUGCCUGAUGUAAAGACAGUCAGACAUGGAUGGAUGAAGGGAGAACCUGUAAAUUGUCUAUAAAACCAUCAAGGAUGCCCCAAGGAAGGGGGAUG
rnacentral:sRNA from 1 species